AUACUCUGGUUUCUCUUCAGAUCGUAUAAGUCUUUCGCCUUUUACUAAAGAUUUCCGUGGGGAGAAAUAGUUCUGAGUAAUCAGCUAAUUUUUUUAAGCCUUGUAUUUGGCAAGGCU